rnacentral:rRNA from 1 species
UGGGGAAUAUUGCGCAAUGGGGGAAACCCUGACGCAGCAACGCCGCGUGCGGGAUGAAGGCCUUCGGGUUGUAAACCGCUUUCAGCAGGGAAGACAUCGACGGUACCUGCAGAAGAAGCCCCGGCUAACUACGUGCCAGCAGCCGCGGUAAUACGUAGGGGGCGAGCGUUAUCCGGAUUCAUUGGGCGUAAAGCGCGCGCAGGCGGACUAGCCAGUCAGUCUUAAAAGUUCGGGGCUUAACCCCGUGAUGGGAUUGAAACUACUAGUCUAGAGUAUCGGAGAGGAAAGUGGAAUUCCUAGUGUAGCGGUGAAAUGCGUAGAUAUUAGGAAGAACACCAGUGGCGAAGGCGACUUUCUGGACGAACACUGACGCUGAGGCGCGAAAGCCAGGGGAGCGAACGGG